ACAACAAUUUUGCGAAUCGCAUGGCGCAAGCCGGCGAUGUUUCGAAUGAGUCUCUGCCCUAUUAAGUUUCGAUUGUAGUGUAGUGGACUACAAUGCUGUUGAUGGGUAACGUGGUAUCAGGGUACGAUUACGGAGAGGACGCCUGAGAAACGGCGACCAAGGCUAAGGCCUGCAGCAGGCGCGAAAAUUACCCAAUGAAGACACUUUGAGGUAGUGACGAAAAAUAACUAGGAAAGAGGCUAUGCCUCUUUCCAUAGGAAUGAGUUAGAUUUAAAAGAGCAAACGAGGAGCCAAUUGAGGGCAAGUCUGGUGCCAGCAGCCGCGGUAAUUCCAGCUCAAUUAGCGUAUACUAGCGUUGUUGCAGUUAAAACGCCCGUAGUUGGAAGUAGAGUCACAACGUCAAGCAGGCUGGUCUUGCGCGACGGCUCGUGCCUUUUUCUGCAAGAUGCUCGCCGUGGCACUUUAUUGGGUCGCGGAGUGAGGUUUUGCUCGUUUACAGUGAAGAGUUCUAUUUGCUCCAAGCAGGCGUCUCGCUUGCAAGUUACAGCACUGGAUAAUGAAAGAUGCUCAGGCUAAUUUUGUUGGUUUUGUUAGUCAGAGAAUGAUAAAUAGGAACAGUUGGCGGAGAUCGUACUGUGCUGGGGAGAGGUGAAAUUUGAUGAUCCGCGCAAGACGAACAACUGCGAAAGCAUUCUCCGAGGAUGUUUUCGUUAAUCAAGGACGAAAGUAGGGGGAGCGAAGAUGAUCAGAGACCGUUGUAGUCCCUACCCUAAACGAUGCCGACUGAGAAUGAGAUUACGUUUCUAAUGACUUUUCUCGCGCUCAUAGAGUAAUCUUGAGUGUUUGGGUUCUGGGGAGAGUACGGCCGCAAGACUGAAAUUUAAGGAAAUUGACGGAAGGGCACCACCAGGGGUGGAACCUGCGGCUCAAUUUGACCCAACACGGGGAAACUUACGCGGUCAGGACAAGAGAAGGAUUGACAGAUUGAAGUUCUUUCAAGAUUUUUUGGGUGGUGGUGCAUGGCCGUUCUUAGUUAGUGAUGUGAAUUGUCUGCUUUAUUGCGAUAACUAGCGAGACCACUGCGGCUUUGUACGACGACCGAGUGCGCAAGUGCUCGGCCGCUUCGUAAUAGCCGGACAGCGGCGGUCACGCCGAGGAAGUUGGUGGCGAUAACAGGUCUGUGAUGCCCUUAGACGUCCGCGGCUGCACGCGCGUUACACUGAGAGGAGCAACAAGUUUCACUUGCGCGAAAGCGCUGGUAAAUCUUUGAAACCCUUUCGUGCUUGGGAUCGAGAGCUGGAAUGUUCUCGUGAACGAGGAAUCCCUUGUAUGCGCGCUUCAUCAAAGCGCACAGAAUACGUCCCUGCCCUUUGUACACACCGCCCGUCGCUGUUUCCGAUUGAAACUAUUGGUGAGGACUAUGGAGGCGGCGUGCUAUGGUGCAAGCCAUUAUCGCAGCCAAAGUAGUUCAAAUCACUAGUUUUAGAGGAAGCAAAAGUCGUAACAAGGUAUCCGUAGGUGAACCUGCGGAUGG
rnacentral:rRNA from 1 species